GCGGGGACGGGUAUAUGCUGGAAUUGCCAGUCGAGGGGAUACAGUUGAAACGAUUGUAAUACGAUACGCCUACGGGGGAAAGCAGGGACUUCGGGCCUUUCGCGAUUGAUAUCCAGGUUGGAUUAGCUAUUGUGAGUAUGCUCACCAAGGCGACGAUCCUACUUGUCUGAGAGAUUAUCAGCCACACUGGGAACUGAGACACGGGUCCAGACUCCUACGGGAGGCAGCAGUGGGGAAUAUUGCACAAUGGGGGAAACCCUAUGCAGCCAUGCCGCGUGUGUGAAGAAGGCCUUCGGGUUUGUAAAGCACUUUCAGCGAGGAGGAAAGGUCAGUAGCUAAUAUCUGCUGACUGUACGUUACUCGCAGAAAAGCACCGGCUAACUCCGUGCAGCAGCCGCGGUAAUACGGAGGGUGCAGCGUUAUCGGAAUUACUGGGCGUAAGCGCACGCAGGCGGUUGAUAAGUUAGAUUUGAAAACCCGGGUCACUGGGAAUUGCUUUUAAAACUGUCCAGUAGAGUCUUGUAGAGGGGGGUAGAAUUCCAGGUUUUAGGGGUAAAUGGUUAGAGAUCUGAGGAAUACCGGUUGGGAAGGGGGCCCCUU
rnacentral:rRNA from 1 species